UUGAGUUUGAGCAAAUGGAAUGGAAUGUGCUGGAACUGGUCCUUGCAGCAUCCUCCUGACACCUUGGGUCUAUUUGCAUAGUGCAGGUGGCCUGAGAUGUCACUAGGCUCUUGAGAGACUUCAGGAACAAGUUGAGGGUUCUGCCUGUCAUCUGAGUUUAUGUACCACGUACAAGACAACCUCACACUGUUUCUAACAUGAAAUGUUAAAAAUUGUUAUAUCUUUUUCAAAAGGGAGAACCCUUUCUGAUUAGUAAGAAGAAU
rnacentral:lncRNA from 1 species